rnacentral:rRNA from 1 species
UAAGGCCCUUCGGGGUACACGAGCGGCGAACGGGUGAGUAACACGUGGGUGACCUGCCCUCCACUCUGGGAUAAGCCUGGGAAACUGGGUCUAAUACCGGAUAUGACUUCAUGCCGCAUGGUGUGGGGUGGAAAGCUUUAUGUGGUGGGGGAUGGACCCGCGGCCUAUCAGCUUGUUGGUGGGGUAAUGGCCUACCAAGGCGACGACGGGUAGCCGGCCUGAGAGGGCGACCGGCCACACUGGGACUGAGACACGGCCCAGACUCCUACGGGAGGCAGCAGUGGGGAAUAUUGCACAAUGGGCGAAAGCCUGAUGCAGCGACGCCGCGUGAGGGAUGACGGCCUUCGGGUUGUAAACCUCUUUCAGCAGGGACGAAGCGAGAGUGACGGUACCUGCAGAAGAAGCACCGGCCAACUACGUGCCAGCAGCCGCGGUAAUACGUAGGGUGCGAGCGUUGUCCGGAAUUACUGGGCGUAAAGAGCUCGUAGGCGGUUUGUCACGUCGGCUGUGAAAACCCAUCGCUCAACGGUGGGCUUGCAGUCGAUACGGGCUGACUUGAGUACUGCAGGGGAGACUGGAAUUCCUGGUGUAGCGGUGAAAUGCGCAGAUAUCAGGAGGUACACCGGUGGCGAAGGCGGGUCUCUGGGCAGUAAC